CAGAUGAACGCUGGCGGCAGGCUUAACACAUGCAAGUCGAGCGGGGAUAGGGUGCUUGCACCUGAUUCCUAGCGGCGGACGGGUGAGUAAUGCUUAGGAAUCUGCCUAUUAGUGGGGGACAACGUUCCGAAAGGGACGCUAAUACCGCAUACGUCCUACGGGAGAAAGCAGGGGAUCUUCGGACCUUGCGCUAAUAGAUGAGCCUAAGUCGGAUUAGCUAGUUGGUGGGGUAAAGGCCUACCAAGGCGACGAUCUGUAGCGGGUCUGAGAGGAUGAUCCGCCACACUGGGACUGAGACACGGCCCAGACUCCUACGGGAGGCAGCAGUGGGGAAUAUUGGACAGUGGGGGGAACCCUGAUCCAGCCAUGCCGCGUGUGUGAAGAAGGCCUUUUGGUUGUAAAGCACUUUAAGCGAGGAGGAGGCUUACCUGGUUAAUACCUGGGAUAAGUGGACGUUACUCGCAGAAUAAGCACCGGCUAACUCUGUGCCAGCCGCCGC
rnacentral:rRNA from 1 species